ACCUCCCACCCGUGUUGCCCGAACCUAUGUUGCCUCGGCGGGCCCCGCGCCCGCCGACGGCCCCCCUGAACGCUGUCUGAAGUUGCAGUCUGAGACCUAUAACGAAAUUAGUUAAAACUUUCAACAACGGAUCUCUUGGUUCCGGCAUCGAUGAAGAACGCAGCGAAAUGCGAUAACUAAUGUGAAUUGCAGAAUUCAGUGAAUCAUCGAGUCUUUGAACGCACAUUGCGCCCUCUGGUAUUCCGGAGGGCAUGCCUGUCCGAGCGUCAUUGCUGCCCUCAAGCCCGGCUUGUGUGUUGGGCCCCGUCCCCCCCGCCGGGGGGACGGGCCCGAAAGGCAGCGGCGGCACCGCGUCCGGUCCUCGAGCGUAUGGGGCUUCGUCACCCGCUCUAGUAGGCCCGGGCGCCAGCCGACCCCCAACCUUUAAUUAUCUCAGGUUGACCUCGGAUCAGGUAGGGAUACCCGC
rnacentral:rRNA from 1 species